rfam:Stomoxys calcitrans breed 8C7A2A5H3J4 unplaced genomic scaffold Scaffold369, whole genome shotgun sequence.
GUAUGCGUAGCGCAGAGGUUAGCGUGUCUGUCUAUGAAGCUGAAUGUCUGGGUUCGAAUCCUGGCUAGAACA